rnacentral:rRNA from 1 species
ACGUUGAAAAGUGUUGAGAUGAGCUGUGGGUAGGGGUGAAAGGCCAAUCAAACUGGGAAAUAGCUCGUACUCCCCGAAAUGCAUUUAGGUGCAGCGUUCAGGUAGAGUAUUAUAGAGGUAGAGCUACUGAUAGGGCUAGGGGGCUUCACCGCCUACCAAACCCUGACAAACUCCGAAUGCUAUAAUAUAUACUGAGCAGUGAGGGCAUGGGUGCUAAGGUCCAUGUCCGAGAGGGAAAGAACCCAGACCAUCGGCUAAGGUCCCAAAAUAUAUGUUAAGUUGAUCAAACGUUGUGCGAUUGCAUAGACAGCUAGGAUGUUGGCUUGGAAGCAGCCAUUCAUUUAAAGAGUGCGUAACAGCUCACUAGUCGAGCGAUCGUGCGUGGAUAAUAAUCGG